CUAGCUAGCCGUACGUAGCUAGCUAGCUUAGUUGCACUAAAGAAUUAAAGUUACUAGUAUAGUAUAGCUAGCUCUUGGACAUGCUGUUUGUCUGCCACUAAUCUAUACCAGUAAUUCCCAGGCUGAAGACUCAUCAGAGAAGGCAAUGGUUCACCAGAUUGGUGCAGCCUGUGUUAAUAGGUCCCCCAAGCCUGUCAGGAUCAUAGCAUUGCAAUUGCUGGCUACAGACGAGUUGAAGCACACACACAGACAGGUAGAGAACUCCUAACGAUACUCUUUGCAGCAUCUGAAAGAAGUUACAUAUAAUUAUAUCGAGUAUAUACACCGACUUUAUUGUACUACAAAAAAUUAUAGUGAUUGUAA